rnacentral:rRNA from 1 species
UACAGAGGUCUCAAGCGUUGUUCGGAUUCAUUGGGCGUAAAGGGUGCGUAGGCGGCGCGGUAAGUCGGGUGUGAAAUCUCGGAGCUUAACUCCGAAACUGCAUUCGAUACUGCCGUGCUUUGAGGACUGGAGAGGAGACUGGAAUUUACGGUGUAGCGGUGAAAUGCGUAGAUAUCGUAAGGAAGACCAGUGGCGAAGGCGGGUCUCUGGACCGAUACUGACGCUGAGGAGCGAAAGCGUGGGGAGCGAACAGG